rnacentral:rRNA from 1 species
AUUGAACGCUGGCGGCAUGCUUUACACAUGCAAGUCGAACGGUAACAGGUCUUCGGAUGCUGACGAGUGGCGAACGGGGGAGUAAUGCAUCGGAACGUGCCCAGUCGUGGGGGAUAACGCAGCGAAAGCUGCGCUAAUACCGCAUACGAUCUUGGGAUGAAAGCGGGGGACCGUAAGGCCACGCGCGAUUGGACCGGCCGAGGUCAGAUUAGGUAGUUGGUGGGGUAAAGGACCACCAAGCCAACGAUCUGUAGCUGGUCUGAGAGGACGACCAGCCACACUGGGACUGAGACACGGCCCAGACUCCUACGGGAGGCAGCAGUGGGGAAUUUUGGACAAUGGGCGCAAGCCUGAUCCAGCAAUGCCGCGUGCAGGAAGAAGGCCUUCGGGUUGUAAACUGCUUUUGUACGGAACGAAACGGCUCUCUCUAAUACAGAGGGCUAAUGACGGUACCGUAAGAAUAAGCACCGGCUAACUACGUGCCAGCCGCCGCAGUAAAAC